rnacentral:rRNA from 1 species
GAUGAACGCUGGCGGCGUGCCUAAUACAUGCAAGUCGAGCGAACAGACGAGGAGCUUGCUCCUUCGACGUUAGCGGCGGACGGGUGAGUAACACGUAGGUAACCUACCUAUAAGACUGGGAUAACUUCGGGAAACCGGAGCUAAUACCGGAUAAUAUUUCGAACCGCAUGGUUCGAUAGUGAAAGAUGGCUUUGCUAUCACUUAUAGAUGGACCUGCGCCGUAUUAGCUAGUUGGUAAGGUAACGGCUUACCAAGGCAACGAUACGUAGCCGACCUGAGAGGGGGAUCGGCCACACUGGAACUGAGAAACGGUCCAGACUCCUACGGGAGGCAGCAGUAGGGAAUCUUCCGCAAUGGGCGAAAGCCUGACGGAGCAACGCCGCGUGAGUGAUGAAGGUCUUCGGAUCGUAAAACUCUGUUAUUAGGGAAGAACAAACGUGUAAGUAACUGUGCACGUCUUGACGGUACCUAAUCAGAAAGCCACGGCUAACUACGUG